UGCAUUUCCAUCUGAGGAUUGAACACUUGCCUGUGGAUUGCAUCCUUCUGUCUGGAUUCAUCCUAGAAAUUGCUGUCAAAGUCUUCCAAUGCCAAUUGUUUCUCUGUCUUUUACAAUGUCACCCACCGUGAAACCAAAUGUUACUGUUCUCUGUUUACUCAUAGGGAAGCCCCCUACAGGACACCUCAAGUUAAAGGACUUAACUUAAACCUACAUUUAAAAACAAAACAUAACUUUUAUAUAAUAAAAAUAUUUACAACAAUGUCCAAAAUUUGUUUUAAAUAACUUCAAUAAUAUCAGGGAUAUGCAUGCAUAUUGAACAUAGAAUAAAAAUUUUAAGACAAAAUAAACUUAAUUUGAACAUAAAUUUAUUUGUUGUGGUAAAGAAUGUCUACUUGCUGCAGGUGAGCUCUCAG
rnacentral:lncRNA from 1 species